AACUCACAAACUGUGAAAUCAUGACCUGAGCCAAAGUCAGACGCUUAACCGACUAAGCCACCCAGGUGCCCCUAAAAUUAACUAUUAUGCCAGUUACAAUAUGUGGCAAGCAACCUAAAAUAUCAUUUGAGGGGGGAAAAAGAAACUGAAAUGAAUAAUCAGGAUUCAUAACAAGAAUUAAAUUAAACUGAUCAAAUAUAACUUCCAGGUAUCACACACAGUGGAAUAUUAAAUUCAGAAAGCAUAUCUUUAAAACUUUUGAACAAAAUGAAGUGUAACACAUAACUGUAGACUUCUCAUUGACUUCACGUGGAUUAUAAGUAUCAAACACUCUUCGAAGCAAAGAAGGAAUAAAGCUAGAAUUUUUUCUGUAGUAACAAAAAAAAUAUAUGAGUUUUUUUCUUUCAUCAAAAUCUUUUCAAAACUUCCUCAAAGACAUUUAAAAAUGAGCAAGUAAGGCAAUAUUUAAAUGAUGCUAUGCAAUUUUCUAAAGGGUAAUCCUUUUUGUUCUCUAUUAUAAACUCUGACUCUAGUCCCUAAAACCAGAUAUAACUUAUUAUUACCAAUUCCCUAUAAAAUCCUCUAAGAAGAAAAAAAAAUUAUACAGGUGAAUUCUUCCAACCAAAUGGCAAACACUGCUCCCACAGAAGAGAAUUCCCGGAACAAUACGGAAAAGUCCUGCUUUCUCCUUUGAAAGCCUCAGGAAACGAAAAAGAAAAUUAAGCAAUAAGAAAGCCUGUCACAUUCAAAAAAGCAAAGAAAAGAAAGACAUAAGGGGGAACAAUCUGAACACAGGAAAAGCCUCUCAAAUUUGAAUUGUCCUAAUGCUCACCUGCUUCUAGAGAGAACUGACCUUUUCCUAUCCUUACACUUUGCAAAGUCAAUUAAGCUGCUGUUUUCUGGGCAUCCUGUAAUUACCACCAGGUAAUGGUGAAAGAGACCCUACAGGUUACGCUGAUCCAAUCUCUGUAUGUACGAAUGAGAAAAUGAAGCUGGAGAGGUGAGGCGACUUGCCCAAAGUCACAGAGUGAGUUAAUAACAGAGCGGUGAGGAUGCCCCAAGUCUCCUGACUCCUGUCUCCUCAGAAAACUGCAAAAUAAACGUGUUGGAGAGAGAUCACUUCAGAAUGCCAGCAAAGCUCUUGGAGAGCCACCUCUGCUGGGAGAGCCCUAAAAGUGCUCUUGCACCCCGUUCGAUUCUCUAGCUGACGAGAGCCUUCUAGUAAUGAGCCCGACUCAGCGGACAGCUCGGUAUCGAGCCUGAUGAAGGGCACAGCCAAAGGUCUUUCUGCAGUUUAUUCCAGCUAUUCAGGUUGCUGGUCAAAGGAAGUAUGUAACUGGGCUUGCAACAAUGCUAUUGAAAAAAAAAAAAAAAAGAGUAUUUAACAUACCAAAACUGUACAAAGGAACACUUAGAACGAGCUUUGCAAAACACUACGUAUGUACCGGGUUCCUAGUAUUUAUAAAGCGCCCUGCUAAGUCCUGUGAGUGAACAGGGACAACCUGGGCAGUUCCUUGAGGGGAGAGACUUCCUGUGGAGAUAAGCAGAAAGACAAGAAAACCUCAAUAAUAAUAUAAUCCUUUAGUGCAGGAUUAAGAACAUUUCAGGAGGAAAAUCCCUCGUACAGAAGCACUUUGUUAAUUUUACACUGAUUGUUUUGAACACUUCAAACAUAAAAGCAGGUCAUAAAUGCUUUUUUACAUCUAAACUAUGACUACUUUUUAAAAAUGCCAACUACUUUGUCUUGAAUUCAUUAUUAGAGUCCUAGGCUUUGAAAACUGGGAAUAAUUCUCCCUUCUCCUUGCCCAUGAAUUGCACAAAAAAUGAUGGAGGGGGUGACAAGAAAAUGAACCAGAUAGGAUGACCAUGACUUGAAUCAAUCCAAUGCAAUUCUUUCAACAGCCAUUCUAUGGAAAGAUCACCGUGUGCCAGAUACUGGGCUGGGUGGCAUCUGUCCCUGGCCGUAAGGUAGGGAGAAAAACGGACAAGGAAACAAACCACAAUACAACGUAAGAAGUGCUUUCAUAGAGGAAUGUAUAAAACACACUGGGGUCUCAGCUAAUAAAGCAAUUAAUUUUGCCAAGCGAGGGGCUGAGGCUAGGGUCAAGGAAGUUUAGAGAGGAAAUAACAAAGGCACUAAGCUUUCAAGGAAGAGUGCCCAGAUGGACAAGAGGGCACAGUAUUUCUCUGUGGAUUGGCCUAUUCUGGACAUUUCUAUAAAUGGAAUCAUACAAUACUUUGCCUUUUGUGUCUGGCUCCUUCCACUUAGCAUAAUGGUUUCAUGAUUCAUCCGUAUUGAAACACGCAUCAGCAAAUCAUUCCUUUUUAUGGCUGCAUAAUGUUCCAUGGUAUAAUAUACCACAUUUUGUUGAUCUAUUCAUCAAUGGAUGGACAUCUGGGUUGUAUCCACUUUGGGCUAAUAUGAAUGGUGCUAGGCACAUUCGUGUAGAAGAUUUCAUUUGAGUCCCCGUUUUCGAUUCUUCUGAGUUUAUUUCUAGGAGUGGAAUGGCUGGAUCAUUUGGUAAUUCUGUGCUUAAUUUAUUGAGGAACGCUGCAGACAGAGACUUUUAAUAAAAGGAAAGGCAUGAUAAGAUUGUAUUUUAGAAAGAUUAGUGCACUAAUAGAUAUUUAAAGAAAUAAGAUCCCCAUAGAGAUGGUCCUCCAACGAUUCACCAAAUAGUUGCUCAUUUGUUCUUUCCUGCUUUCUUUCCUUUCCUGCCUGCUCUCUUGCCUUUUUUUUUUUUUUUUUUUGAACCUACAAAUUGGCAUGCAAUCUGGUGGUCCAAAUAUAUGUCCACCCACAUACCUUGUGGCUCUCCACCAUCUUCUGAGGCUUCUGUGCUAAAAUCCUGCUAGCUCAGCCCAUCUGUAAUGGUUCAGAUUAUUUUCUUGCCUUGAAAUUCCUGCUCUAAAGAGGUAUCAAGCUUUAAUAAAUAGGCCGCUCAGUUUCAAAUAAGACGUCCAAGAGGAGCGUAGCAAUUCCAUCAAGAAAUGUGAGGUGCGCUGGAGUGGGCUGGCUUUGAACAUUCCUGCUGAGAUGACUGAGAUUCAUCCUGACACAGUCUCCCUCCACCCCCUCCUCCAAACCCAAGAUCAUACACGACCAAACAACUGCCUCCUCACGUGGCCUUCCGGAUUUGCAAUUCUGAAAGCAAACAGUUCUUCACAGAGAUCUCAAGGAUUAUUCAAGCCCCGUAAAGACACUGGUAAAGCGGCUCUUCUUCAGAUUAGAAUUGGUUAGCUUCUCAGGUUUUGACUACGUGCCUGUACCAACACAUCAGGACACAGACAACCACGGACCAGCAAGCAGUACCAGAAAAUGGAGCCCAGAUGUUCACGCGAUUGGGUAGCAAAGAACAGUGGAAGCUCCCUGAGAGAUAAGGUGGGAACAAGCAAGGUGGGCUGAGGGAAUGAGGAGACAGCCACACCAAGGUCACAGCUUGCUUGGCAGAGGUCACAGACCAAUAAUCUGGGGUGCACUGCACUUCAGGUAUAAGGGAGAUCAAAGGAAAGGUCAUGCUUGGUAAGUGUUGGUAACACCGGAUGGCCGGCCUAAAUUCCUUCAAUGUUCCCACUCAUUACGGUCUCCAGCUCAGCAUCCACACUGGGAGUCUCCCUUACUCCCUCAAUGGAAUGUAACGUCCAGAUGCUCCCCUAACAAAAGCUUAUCUUCUACAGCAAUCAAGAACACUUGCAAUUACCAGUAGCCUGCCUGAUGGGAUUUGAGGGCUCUUGUUGAGCUGUGGAGAAGAAAAAUCAGUAGCUAACACAAAAAAAUCACAGCAACUUGGAUAUAAUUGGAUAUGAACUUUCUAUGACAUAGCAAAAACUCUUCCUUUUUUCUCCCUCAAAGCCAUUGCUAAAUGUUAUCCAUGAGACAUGGUGGAUACAAAUGUCAUUGAUUCUGGCAAUUUUGAUCACAAGCCACUUAACACACCAUCCACUUUUGUGUUUAGAAGUCCGUUUUAAAAGACAAUUCCUAUGUGCAGACGGAAAGAAUUUAAGCAAGUAUUUUUUUUUUUUUUUUUUUUGCUAGCAGAGUGGCAAGUCAGAAUUUAAUUUCUCUUCAAGAUAACCUUCAGGAGCGUUAGCAAUAGAACGUGUGGAAACACACUCUGUUCAGCCUCAAAACGCUGUGCGGCAAAACUACAAAUCUAGUCGUUAAGAGUUGUGUGGUAUGAGCCGGCGGUUGUUUAAUCAAAAAGGGCUCAUUUAAUACUGUGCCUAGUGUCAGAAAUGAUGCAAAAAGAAAAUGUGUCUUCUUCCCCUUGUGCAAGAUGAAUGUGUGUGACAUAACAGUGCACAGGGAGAUCCCCCAUGAAGUUCAGCCAGGAUGGGAAAGAUCACUCCUUUCUCUGCUCAGAUGAGAGACUUGGCUCUGCUAACGAGCAGGGAAAGAAACGCUCUUCAAAGUGGGGUGUGUACGUGCCAUCUUUUGGAAUGCAGGGUGAAAAGAGUUGAACUUCUGUCGAUAUUUAUUACCACAUCCCUUCAAAAUUUGCUUCUGUCUGUGCUUUAUGAUGCAUGUGUUAGUACGGUCCAUGCACAUAAUUUAAAAAUGAAUAAAUACAAGUGAUAUGGAGUGCUGCUCAAAAUGGUUUCAGAGACCACUUGCUUUGAGAAAAAAGAAAGAAAAAGGAAGUCUUAUUGAUAUCCCCAGUACCCCCAAAACUAAGGAAUCCUUUUGCCAGGGGCGUCUUCCGGUCCAGGAGAAGAUCUGGGAACAAUAUGUGACCUAAUGGGUCAGAGGGGAGAAACAGUGCUAGUCUCUCAACCUUCCUAGAUAUAGCUACUCUUGGGAGAUAAUUAUUCUAACACAAAUGAUACUUUGGUCUACAAAUGGGCUGAAGAAAAGCAUCAAUCUAAUUCUGUGUCAGGUAGAACUUUGUGGGUCCUGUACAGACUAUUAAUUUCAUGGAAAAUAAGCAACAAGGGAAACAGAUAAAUCAUUAGCAGAGUGAUCCAGUGAAUUUCCUACCAAUUUUCCUACUUUCUUUCUCUUGCAGAGAACAAAAUGACAAAGUAUUUGUGUCCCACUGUCUUUGAUAUCUCUGUUUAUCUCAUUAGAUGAAAAAUGCUUCUGAAACCACAAGGACAUGUUUCAUUUCAAGUUUCAAGAAUUCAAUCCCAAAUGAUUUAUACAAGUUAACAUUAUGCAUACAGAAUUAUGAUGUUCACAUUUCUGAAAUUCUAUCCCUUUAAAUUUCAUAAAAACAAAACACUGCAACAUUAAUUUUCUUUUUGUUUAUUGCAGGCAAUAUAUAAUCAGAAUUUGAUCUCCAUCAACAAGGCACAUAUAUUUGAAACGUAAUGUUAAUUGCUUUUAAUGAAGAUUUUUAAUUAAAAAAAUUUUAGGAAACUAAAGUGAAGGCCAGUAAGAACAGUUGGAACUUCUGAUAUAAUUUCAACGACUAAUCCCCAUUCAAAAUUAAUUUCUCCAAAGCUCACCACAUAAUGUAUUCACAAGUCUCAUCAAUGUUUAUUUAUUAAAAUCAGUGUUUUCAGUUACUGAAAGCAGCAUUAUAUAAUGUUUCCAACUGAGAUUCCUUCCAUCUGCCCUCCUAUUUGCAUGUUCAUCGAGUGGUUUAAACAGAGGAGUUGUACUUGGAACAGAAGGGCCAGGGACCCCAAAGGGCAGAGCACUCCAUCACUAUGCACUGUACUCUCUAUCAUUUGCCAACCAGUGCUAGCUGCCCUCCCCAAGUGCUCUUCCCAUAACCUACUAAGUGCAGUUACUACAUAACCCACUAGAAACUAACUGCACCACUUGAUAUGAACUCUACGAGGACAGGUGUUUGUAUGCAUUGAUUCAUUCCUGUAUCCUCCACACUUACAGUAAUACCGGGUACCUAAUAUAUAUCUGUUGAGUGAAUAAAUCGGAUGGAUGAAUGAAUGACUCAAUGAAUGAAUGAAGAUCCUGUCUUUAGGUCACCUCUUCUCAUUUCCUGGGCUUCUUAUUUAAUCCAUGCCACGUCUACCCGCUUUACUGGCUUUCUGUGACUUUUGCAUGGACAGGUUGCAUUCAAAAUUCUAGCAGUCCCGGUGGCACUGAGGCGCCUGAGGCUCUAUGCUUUAAGUCUAUUCUCUCAAGUUCCUGCAACCAGGGUCUCUCAACUUUUAUAUUCUUACUGGCAAGUGGAGGAUGACUUCUUUGGAUAUAGUCCCUACUUUGACCAGUGAAGCGUCCUUAGCAUCAAAAGUUAGCUGCAAGAAGGAACUACAUGGAAGAAUAAUUUAGAAUCAACGGACCAACUCAAACACAAAAGAGCCGCACAUGGCAAAUCUUCCUCAUAUUGCCUUGAACAUAUUAGGCUUUCAGUGGGCACUGACCGCACUGGAUAGUAAACUAUGGAAAAAUACAGUGUGAACCUAAUAUCUCUAAAGCCUUUACAAGCUAUCCCAGUGGGCAAGAGAGUGAAAUGUGGACUGGUCAGCGUAGGGCUGGUUAGAGGACUUGCAGCUGGAAAAACAAAUGUCUUCCAAUUGUGCUGUCGAAUGGCCCUCUGUCAGCCUGGUAGGCUCUAUCUAGUCUUGGUUCUUAAUGGAUUUAUCAAUAAUAACUUCACCACCAUUCUCAUUGAAGGUCCUGCUUGUAGGGCCAGUCUAGACCUCCUAGGGUCACGCUGGGCUAGCAGUGAACUAGAAUCAUAAAUGAAGGGUGACAAUCAGAAUUUGGUGACUUUUCCCAAAUAUCUGUCCCAUCGAGACCAAUGCUUUUCUGGCUCAUGUGAUUUCUCUUCAGUAGAGUAAGAUGACAUAGACUAUCUGUCUAUCCGUGUCAUUUCUAAACUAAUCUCUCAUUCUCUACAUUGAGACUGUUUCUGUUUCCUCUACAUCUCUCAGAAAUAUUUACCUGGCCUCCGGGAACACGAAAUGCAAACAAUCCCAACUAUGAGAAUGUUUUCCACAUUAUCAACUCACACUUUCUUCUACGCAACUUUUACUCACCUCCAGGCUUGGCCUUCUAAGUCCGUAUGUAGAACAGCUAAUCUCUUUCUUUUUCUCUCAAAAGCUCACUAACUAUCCCAGGCGGGUCUGUGGCCCUUGCCCACCCCACCCCACUCUCCCAUUUGAAUCUACUUUCCUUCAUUUCUUAUGGUUAAAAUUUCUAAAGGUUAGAACUCAUAAACAAGGCAAUUCAGAGAAGAAAGUAAAAAUAGAACAUAAGACCCUAGUUAUCUAAAUUUUUAAGAGAGAUGUGAUUUCAACUGCUAGAUGUAUAUGACUCAUUUAAGAAAUUCAUACCACAGCCACUAAGGUCCGAUGCCAAGACAAAGGUAAUAAUGUUUCCCUAAUACUGAUGCCAAAAUCAAAUUGUUCAUAGAAUCACAGAAUUUUAAAGCCGUUCAUUUUGCCCAUUCAUUUCGCAGCUAAUGAAACGGAGAUCCAUAAGAGUUAUAUAACCAGCCCAAGGUAGAUUAGUAGGAAUGUUGAAAGUACUUGACACAUUUUUGGCCAUCUCCCAAAAAACAAAUUAUGAUCCUAUAAUGUACUGAUAUCUGUCAUUUUCUCCAAACUCCUCAUGUCUUAAUAAUGUCAGCUCAUUAACUUCCCAGAAAGCUAAAUUUACACUGUUAUUAUUACAACAAUGUUAAAUUUUAGAACUAGAAAAUUCCCUAAAGAGUAGUCAGCUUUCCUGAUACCACAGACAAGCAAACUGAAGGCCAAUGAGACCCAGACACUUCUUGGAGGACACAUUGCAACUGAGCAGCAGAGCCCGUGUCUUCUGGUUACAGCCUAGAACCCUCUAGUGUUCUGCACAAAGAAUGAGCUAAACACCAUCAAUAUUACAAAGCUGAUAUUGCUUUCAUCUAAAACACCACAUUCAUGAUGAGAAAAAUAUAAUUCUUUUAACUAGUAUAGGAAUCUUAUGGAAGUGCUAGUCUGGACAAACAUUUGCCAGAAAGACUGUAGAAGAAGGGAUUUUGAACAAUAGGCAGGAGAUUGGAUUCAGUGACCUCUAAAGUCCCUUCCACCUUUAGGAUCAUUUGAUUCUGGACUGCCCAAGACCUGGGCACCACAGCUAGCCAGGGCACUUCCAGAGGUGGGGAAGGUGCAGUAUCCCAGGGUGGGGGUGGGGAGGUGGUCCCUCUCCUGUUGUCAGGUUAGACUCUGCCCUGCUGUCCCAGGCAUUCCUCUCUAGCCAAUUUACAUGCAAUCAACUACUGUAGGCAUAGAAAGAGUGUAAGGCAAUGCAGCUCUCUCAUUUCCAAAGACAGACUACACUGCUUAGCUUUCAAAAUUGCCUUGCCUAAAUGAGCAUUCCAUAACUGAGCCUCCAAAUUCAGCUUUUGCAGUUUGUUCAUGUACUAUGCUACUAUCAGAAUUAAUUAUGCAGCAUCUUCAUGAGGUGAAAUCAGAUUUGGAUGCGAGUUAGGAGAGGAAAGAAAAAGGUUUACUUCCUUAAGGAAGGCUUCUGUCCUUAUCCCCCCCCCCCCACACACACCAAAAAGCUCUGGAGUCCUUCCAUGCACAGACAGAUUUCAGAUGGCAGUCCCCAGCUGAGCUAGCCAUGGGAAGGAGGAAGUUGACAUGUAUGAGAAAUGAAGAAUAUGCCAACUAACAAGACUCUGAAGGCCAAACGGUUAUUAACCCCCUCCUUUCUACGUGAUUCCGUUCCACACUAUAAUUCAACACAAGUCCCUUCUCUGGCUUUCCUGAAUGGCUCCUAGAUACUAAAACGUACAGAUUUUAGACUUUUUCCUUUUUGCAAGAAUGAGUCCAAGGGAAAGAAGGUAUGCUUUUUCAUCUCAGAGAAAAAGAAUGUACAUUAAGAGUGGAACCCUGAAAGUUAGAAGGAAGCUUCACCCAUAGGACGGUCUCGUUGAAUAUUUUUACAUGAAUGAGAUUACAAAAAAAAAAAAAAUCAAACUUUUGAUUACAUGCAUGGGACCCAGGUGUUGCAUAGACUUCAGAAGAGCAAACUGAUGCUCUACAACUCAGUACCCAAAACCAAAACGACAAAAGCAGCCUUACACGGUAUCCCAAACACGAGAGACUCCACUCCAAACCCAGAAAGCUGCACUUUAAAGGGCUUUGGAGGGUUCUCUCCUCUCACCCUGGCGUGCCUAGACACUGAGGAUGGUGUGAGGAGUGAUGGAUCCGGAAGGCUGGAAAAAAAGUAGACGUCCUAUCUGCGUGCAGCUGCCUCACCAAUGAAUUAAUGCUAUCUGAGGUCUAAUCAAUACGAACCCUGCACUUUGGGGUUGGGAAGAAAACCUCGGGCCUCCUUAGCUUCCCAUUAGCCUGCCAGGCUGGGAUGACCACACCAGUUCCGUCUAAUGCCGACAGGAGCACAAUACAAG